GAAUGUGAGGGCUGUUUGCGACAUCUGUCAGCCCACUGAUAGGCGGGGCUGAUUCAGCUGAUCUGGCUGGCUAGAUUAGCCCCUCCCUCCCUCACCACUCCAGGAGCGCCCCUCCUGAAGCUGCACAUUCGGUGGGAGAUGAAGACCAUCCCCGAUAGAGAAGGAUCGGUCUUCAGUCAAGGGUAUAAAGAGUACCUGUGCUCCCCUACUAGAAUCUCCAAACGAGCUCUCAAGAAAACGGAAAGAGGCCAAUAUGAUCUUUAAGUAUGGUCACUCGUGGUCAUUACAGAUAGGGA
rfam:TPA: Bos taurus chromosome 1, whole genome shotgun sequence.